CCUCUCAAGGACUCCGAACUUACAUCCUACAUCCUUGCUGGUUUGGGUCCUGAAUAUGACUCUCUUGUCACUACUGUCACUACUCGCAUCGAACCCAUUUCCCUUGAUGUUCUAUAUGGCUAUUUGCUCACUCAUGAAC